GACGAACGCUGGCGGCGUGCCUAAUACAUGCAAGUAGAACGCUGAAGGAGGAGCUUGCUCUUCUGGAUGAGUUGCGAACGGGUGAGUAACGCGUAGGUAACCUGCCUGGUAGCGGGGGAUAACUAUUGGAAACGAUAGCUAAUACCGCAUAAGAGUAGAUGUUGCAUGACAUUUGCUUAAAAGGUGCAAUUGCAUCACUACCAGAUAGACCUGCGUUGUAUUAGCUAGUUGGUGGGGUAACGGCUCACCAAGGCGACGAUACAUAGCCGACCUGAGAGGGUGAUCGGCCACACUGGGACUGAGACACGGCCCAGACUCCUACGGGAGGCAGCAGUAGGGAAUCUUCGGCAAUGGACGGAAGUCUGACCGAGCAACGCCGCGUGAGUGAAGAAGGUUUUCGGAUCGUAAAGCUCUGUUGUAAGAGAAGAACGAGUGUGAGAGUGGAAAGUUCACACUGUGACGGUAUCUUACCAGAAAGGGACGGCUAACUACGUG
rnacentral:rRNA from 1 species